UACGAAGGGGGCUAGCGUUGCUCGGAAUCACUGGGCGUAAAGGGUGCGUAGGCGGGGCUUUAAGUCAGGGGUGAAAUCCUGGAGCUCAACUCCAGAACUGCCUUUGAUACUGAAGAUCUUGAGUUCGGGAGAGGUGAGUGGAACUGCGAGUGUAGAGGUGAAAUUCGUAGAUACUGGGAAGAACGCCGGUGGCGAAGGCGGCUCUCUGGACCGUAACUGACGCUGAGGCGCGAAAGCGUGGGGAGCAAACAGG
rnacentral:rRNA from 1 species